rnacentral:miRNA from 1 species
CAGUGGGCCGUGAAAGGUAGCC